UCCAGUGACCUCCUUUGCCGUUUAGGCAAGGGAUGGUGGCUUGUCCGGCCCGGUAAAGGGUUUCCCUCCCCUUUUUCCAAUUUUGUUGCCCAUAGUUUUGCUUUGUUUGUCUUGUUUGUCUUGUUUGUCAGAUCUUGGGGCGAGCAUGUAGAGGGUUUGAAUGAAGGAUCUGGUUGGGAGUUUGCCGUGGCUAGAUCUGAGAAGUGGUGGCUUGUUUAGCCGAGGAUGGUAAUUGGUGGGGAUUAAAAAGCUGACGGUGGUAGGUCCCUGUAUCGUUCAGCGUCCCAAUUGAUGCCAGCUUUGCUCUUCUCGUUGGGUGGCUCAGCAUCGGAAGCUCAAACCAUUAAAGGGUCAUUUUCUCCGUAGGCGACAGAGGGGGUAAUAAUUCGACUCUAAAAGUGCUCUGAUUCGACUCUUAAAGUGCUCUCUGUGGUUGUGGGUUUCUUUUUGCUGAUCUUCUCUAGUUUAGCCAUGUCUAGGAUUGUGUUUUGCUUUGGUUGUGCUUCGUAGUGUUAUUGGUGGAGUGAGUUUUGCCUAUGGCCUGCUUGUGAAGGUCUACAAGUGGCACCGUAUGAUAUAGCAUUAGUG
rnacentral:misc_RNA from 1 species